UACAGAGGGUGCGAGCGUUGUUCGGAAUUAUUGGGCGUAAAGGGCGCGUAGGCGGUGCCACAAGUCACUUGUGAAAUCCCCGGGCUUAACUCGGGGCCUGCAGGCGAAACUGUGGUGCUGGAGUAUGGGAGAGGUGCGUGGAAUUCCCGGUGUAGCGGUGAAAUGCGUAGAUAUUCGCAAGAACACCAGUGGCGAAGGCGGCUCACUGGCCCGGUACUGACGCUGAGGUGCGAAAGCG
rnacentral:rRNA from 1 species